GUAUAAGGUUUAUUGGACAGUCAAGUCCGAUAAUAACAUUCGUAGACAUGCAAAUGGUGUAUAUGAAGACAUAGACCGGAAAUGUAAGGAAAGCCGGCUUUGACGCACAGCAGUCCUCAUACCGAGUUUCCUCGAGAGAUAUCCAAGUCUACAAAAGGUGCACAGGUGGUAAGAAGAUUGGUGUUAGGCGUGCACAUGCCCCUAAGAGCCAGCAACAACCCAACCAAGCUUAUUCAAUAAUGAUCCUUCCGCAGGUUCACCUACGGAAA
rnacentral:misc_RNA from 1 species